CAAUAAUGUGACUUACCCUGAGCUACUUGAAAUCAUAUCAACGUUAAAGGAUGAAGAAGGAGGUCUCAUGGGUGUUAGCACUUCAAAUCUUGUAAUUGCCAACUCUGGAAAUGAUUUACCUGGCAUUGAUCUUAAUAAGGUGUCAUAGGAGAUUGCUUUCCAUGCAAAUGAUGCAGAUCUUUCCUUUUCACACUGCAAUUUUU